GAUGAACGCUGGCGGCGUGCCUAAUACAUGCAAGUCGAGCGAACGGACGAGAAGCUUGCUUUUCUGAUGUUAGCGGCGGACGGGUGAGUAACACGUGGAUAACCUACCUAUAAGACUGGGAUAACUUCGGGAAACCGGAGCUAAUACCGGAUAAUAUUUUGAACCGCAUGGUUCAAAAGUGAAAGACGGUCUUGCUGUCACUUAUAGAUGGAUCCGCGCUGCAUUAGCUAGUUGGUAAGGUAACGGCUUACCAAGGCAACGAUGCAUAGCCGACCUGAGAGGGUGGUCGGCCACACUGGAACUGAGACACGGUCCAGACUCCUACGGGAGGCAGCAGCAGGGAAUCUUCCGCAAUGGGCGAAAGCCUGACGGAGCAACGCCGCGUGAGUGAUGAAGGUCUUCGGAUCGUAAAACUCUGUUAUUAGGGAAGAACAUAUGUGUAAGUAACUGUGCACAUCUUGACGGUACCUAAUCAGAAAGCCACGGCUAACUACGUG
rnacentral:rRNA from 1 species